rnacentral:rRNA from 1 species
AGAGUUUGAUCCUGGCUCAGAACGAACGCUGGCGGCGUGCCUAACACAUGCAAGUCGAACGGAAUUUGAGAGCUUGCUCUUAAAUUUAGUGGCGCACGGGUGAGUAACGCGUAGAUAAUCUGCCUGAUGAUCUGGGAUAACACUUCGAAAGGAACGCUAAUACCGCAUACGUCCUACGGGAGAAAGCAGGGGACCUUCGGGCCUUGCGCUAUCAGAUGAGCCUAGGUCGGAUUAGCUAGUUGGUGAGGUAAUGGCUCACCAAGGCGACGAUCCGUAACUGGUCUGAGAGGAUGAUCAGUCACACUGGAACUGAGACACGGUCCAGACUCCUACGGGAGGCAGCAGUGGGGAAUAUUGGACAAUGGGCGAAAGCCUGAUCCAGCCAUGCCGCGUGUGUGAAGAAGGUCUUCGGAUUGUAAAGCACUUUAAGUUGGGAGGAAGGGUUGUAGAUUAAUACUCUGCAAUUUUGACGUUACCGACAGAAUAAGCACCGGCUAACUCUGUGCCAGCAGCCGCGGUAAUACAGAGGGUGCAAGCGUUAAUCGGAAUUACUGGGCGUAAAGCGCGCGUAGGUGGUUUGUUAAGUUGGAUGUGAAAUCCCCGGGCUCAACCUGGGAACUGCAUCCAAAACUGGCAAGCUAGAGUAUGGUAGAGGGUGGUGGAAUUUCCUGUGUAGCGGUGAAAUGCGUAGAUAUAGGAAGGAACACCAGUGGCGAAGGCGACCACCUGGACUGAUACUGACACUGAGGUGCGAAAGCGUGGGGAGCAAACAGGAUUAGAUACCCUGGUAGUCC